rnacentral:lncRNA from 1 species
GGGGCAGAGAGACAGACCUUUGUGGUUUUUUGACAGAGUCUGGACUUGAAUUACUCAAGCAGAGAUUAUCUGCCUGAAGAAGGAAAAAGAUUUAACAGAUGUCCUCCAUCUCUCUGGCUGUCUCUGUGUCACAAUUGUGACUAGGCUGACAUUUCCUAAAACCUUCAUAAUUCUCCUUGUAGACUAGGGACACCCCUCUCCCCUUCACCUCAAUCCCCAUCCUGUUUGUUCCCAAUAAACCCCUUUACUUGAGAAAGGAAGAGUGAAGAAUAUUUCUCUAAAACCUCAUAGUUCCCCUGAGUUACUUAGAAGGUUCAAGUAACGGCUCUGUCCUGCAUAAGGAAGGUCCCUUUAUGAGUUAUGUUCUCACGAAUCUUGAAAAAUGACUUUCUAUUUACUUGGUAUAUAUCUUAUAUAUUCUUAUCAGUUUAUAUGUCGAUUUUUCCCAGGAAAAAUUUAAUCCUUAAAGGGAAAGAUAUUGUCUUUUUUUGUCUUUGUACUCCCAGGAACCCAGAACAAUCUUUAACACACAGUAGGUGCUUAAUAAAUGCUUAAUGAAAGGAUAUACCUGACUGCUGCCUAGAAGUCUUUGAAGGAUGUUAUCAGAGUUAGAAGACUUUGAUUUCUGCCCAUAUAUACACUGCCAGAGGGCCAAAGUCAUGGUCUUGAUCUUCCAUAUAGAAUGAUGAUCUUCGGACGCCCACAUGAAGUUGCUCCUUCUCUUUUCAACCAUCCUACUGGCUCUGACCUUAAACAACUUCUCUGCCAAUGCCUGCUUGCCUUACCUAGAGCUGGUUGCAAGUCUCAACGUGAAUUCAAGCACAUUUUUGGAUUCGAGGCUCGAUAUAUACGAAGCUGAUGACACCACUAAAGAGGGAUUUCACAAAGUCAACGGAUGUUUGUUAGACCUCACACAGAAAGAGAAGGAAAAGCUCUUGUACCUUCAGGCUAAAAUCAUGAUGAGCCCAACCUGCCAAAUUAAAGGGCCAUGAAAAUAAUGGAAGCUGGACCAACUAAGGUGAUGGAUCAACAACCCCACUAUCACUCUCCAUCAUGGCUGAUUGCUCAUCACAUCUCUAUCCUAUCCCUGCCUGCUAUAGAGGAAACUAUAGACCUCAAGCCAACCUGCCUGGGCUUUUCCCCUUGCUUAUUCCAAUAAACUCAAAGAAAUUCAGUU